GCGCCACGCCCCCGCCUCCCCCGCCUGUUUGUCUACUUCUGACAAGAGGGCCCAAGGGUGAGUUAGUUUUUAUUUAUAUACUUUUUGGCAAAAAAUUGGCGGCAUAAAAGUUUUGCAAACACCCCCCAGCCCCGCACCCCCAACUAAGGCCUUGUUUAGUUUCGAAAUUUUUUGGUUUUGGAGACUUUAGCACUUUUCAUUUUUAUUAGACAAUUAUUGUCUAAUAAUAGACUAACUAGGCUCAAAAAAUUCAUCUCGCGAUUUACAGGCAAACUGUGCAAUUAGUUUUUGUUUUCGUCUAUAUUUAAUGCUUCAUGCAUGUGCUGCAAGAUUCGAUGUGAUGGGGGAUCUUAAAAAAUUUUUGGUUUUUGGGUGAACUAAACAAGGUCUAAGGGGGUGUUUAGUUCCCCUAUAAUUGCUCUGUGUCUGUACUUCGUAUUCUGUAACAUACUGAGACCUUGUUUAGUUCCAAAAUAUUUUGGGCUAAAUACAAAUUUUUUUUGCUAUUUUGCAUUUUGGAAGUAAACAUGUCCAAAAUAUUUUGGCCCUAAACUUUUUGCAAAAUUAAAUAGGAAAUGGACUUGUUUAGUUCUUUUUUUUUGCAAAAUGGACAUUGUAACACUUUCGUUUGUAUUUGAUAAAUAUUGUCCAAUAAUAGAAUAAUUAGGCUCAAAAGAUUCGUCUCGCAAAUUACAUAUAAACAGUGUAAUUAGUUAUUUUUUAUCUGUAUUUAGUGCUCUAUACAUGUGCCAUAAGAUUCAAUAUGAUAGGUAUCUGAAAAAUUUUGCAAAUUUUUUGGGAAGUAGACACCAAAACCAAAAAAAUUACGUUAGAAUUUUGGUGGGCUGCUCAAGGUUUUGGGGUUUUGGGUUUUUUUGCAAAAUACUUUAUAGGCCUGAACUACUGAUUUCGCAGACUAGGUCUUGUUUACUUCCACCCAAAAACCCAAAAUCUUCCAAGAUUCUCCGUCACAUUGAAUCUUUAUACGCAUACAUGAAGUAUUAAGUAUAGAAGAAAAUAAAAACUAAUUACAUAGUUUGGUCGAAAUUGACGAGACGAAUUUUUUGAGCCUAGUUAGUCCAUGAUUAGACAAUAAUUACCACAAACAAACGAAAGUGCUACAGUGUCACGAAAUUUUUUCCUUCAUGAAGUAAACAAGGCCCUAGUGGAUUUGCCAGAGCUAGCUGUUCCUCUUGUGAUUCUAUCCGGAUUUCUAUAUAUCCUACUCCACUGCUGUUUUCGUUUUCUGUUUCAAUGCAGGUGUGCUGAAUUGCAUGCAACCAGGAUUUCGAUGACAGAACAAGCGCCAAAGAGAUCACUACAAUCGCAAGUCUCCUUACCAUUACCAGUGUGGUCGACUCAACUACUUUGCACCUGACAUUCUAUGCUCCAACCUGCAGAUAACACGCUGUCCUUCGGUUGUCCAUAGCAAUAGCACGCGAACUCUGAAUCACCAUUACUCUGAUGGCACUGGGUGUUGUUCACCAUCACUCUGUUUUUCGUUUUUGUUUCAGAGUUUCAUAGUCUGUCAGUCUUUCCGUUUCAGUUUCAGUAAAUCCACUUCGGCAAAGCAUUUCAUGGACUGACAUUUGUGCUUUGAAACAAGAUGGCAGCACUCCCUGAUUGCUCUCUACACCACAGACGAUCUUUCUUAGAACCUGGAGCCGAUGUGUAGUGGCACUGAACCAAAUUAAGCUAUCGGUCUGGUGGAGCAGGACACAAAUGAAGCUGUUGCUUUCUUCCUGCAGACACAGACCCUGUAUGGAAUGGAUUGGCAAAUUUCAGUUAUAGAGAAGAGAGGGCCCUUCAUUUUUUUCCCCUUCAAAUAUAUGAACUGGCAGUCAAUUCUACUGUCACCAAGCAAGUAAAAGAGGUUGUGCAAGCACAACAGAUUCACUUCACUUAUAACAAUAAAUUUCCCUACAGAGAUGCAGUGAUGGAAUCAAACAGGCAUUCUAAUUGUUGAUAGACAAGACAAUGAAAGUUGUGUUUGUUCAAUAUAGCUACAUCGAAGUACAUUGAGAGUAUUGGC
rnacentral:lncRNA from 1 species